rnacentral:tRNA from 2 species
AGGGAUGUAACUCAGUUGGUUAGAGUGAAGAACUUUUAAUUCUUAAGUCGGGAGUUCGAGCCUCCCUAUCCCUA